UUUAAUAAUUUUCGUCAGCGAUGUGGAUAAUGAACAAAAUUUUAUAAAUCAAAUCGCAUACGACAUAUCGCAUACGACAUAUUGCAUACGAUUUGUCGCAUACGAUAUAUCGCAUUCAAUAUUAAGCACACGAAAAAUAUAAUGGGAUAUUUCUGAUAAUUAUUGAAAAACUCUACAUUUUGAAAAACGAUGUGGAUAAUGAACAAAAUUUUAUAAAUCAAAUCGCAUACGACAUAUCGCAUACGACAUAUUGCAUACGAUUUGUCGCAUACGAUAUAUCGCAUUCAAUAUUAAGCACACGAAAAAUAUAAUGGGAUAUUUCUGAUAAUUAUUGAAAAACUCUACAUUUUGAAAAACGAUGUGGAUAAUGAACAAAAUUUUAUAAAUCAAAUCGCAUACGACAUAUCGCAUACGACAUAUUGCAUACGAUUUGUCGCAUACGAUAUAUCGCAUUCAAUAUUAAGCACACGAAAAAUAUAAUGGGAUAUUUCUGAUAAUUAUUGAAAAACUCUACAUUUUGAAAAACGAUGUGGAUAAUGAACAAAAUUUUAUAAAUCAAAUCGCAUACGACAUAUCGCAUACGACAUAUUGCAUACGAUUUGUCGCAUACGAUAUAUCGCAUUCAAUAUUAAGCACACGAAAAAUAUAAUGGGAUAUUUCUGAUAAUUAUUGAAAAACUCUACAUUUUG